UGGAUCCAGACUUUGAUUCUGGCUCAGGACGAACGCUGGCGGCGUGCCUAAUACAUGCAAGUCGAACGAAGCUUUCUUUCACCGAAUGCUUGCAUUCACCGAAAGAAGCUUAGUGGCGAACGGGUGAGUAACACGUAGGCAACCUGCCCAAAAGAGGGGGAUAACACUUGGAAACAGGUGCUAAUACCGCAUAACCAUGAACACCGCAUGAUGUUCAUGUAAAAGACGGCUUUUGCUGUCACUUUUGGAUGGGCCUGCGGCGUAUUAACUUGUUGGUGGGGUAACGGCCUACCAAGGUGAUGAUACGUAGCCGAACUGAGAGGUUGAUCAGCCACAUUGGGACUGAGACACGGCCCACACUCCUACGGGAGGCAGCAGUAUGGAAUCUUUCACAAUGGACGAAAGUCUGAUGGAGCAAUGCCGCGUGAAUGAAGAAUGCCUUCGGGUCGUA
rnacentral:rRNA from 1 species